rnacentral:lncRNA from 1 species
AAGCCUUCACAACUCUUGGGGUGGUUCCCGAACAAAAGAUUGUAUUGUCACUUAUAUGAUCGUGGGUGAGACAAGUCGCUGGUGGCAGUUGAAGUAGGCCACCCUGCCCAUUCCAGUCACUUGGGAACAGUUCCUGAUAGCCUUCAAUGCAGAGUACCUUCAAGAGUAUCUUCGACAUUUGAAGGAAAUGAAGUUUGCACACCUGGUCUAAGGUGAUAUGAUAGUGUCAGAGCAUGCCUAAAGGUUCCUAGAGUUGGGUUGAUAUUUUUCUGAGAAUAUGAUGGAUGAAGGUAGAAAGGCAAUGAAGUUUGAGUGGGGCCUCUGUCCUAAGUCAGGAAAUAGUUGUAUGUGUUUGAGCUCAGCACCUACUCGAUAGUUCUGGCCAAGACAC